UACGUAGGGGGCAAGCGUUGUCCGGAAUUAUUGGGCGUAAAGAGCGUGUAGGCGGUCCGGUAAGUCAGCUGUGAAAGUCAAGGGCUCAACCCUUGAAUGCCGGUUGAUACUGUCGGGCUAGAGUCCGGAAGAGGCGAGUGGAAUUCCCGGUGUAGCGGUGAAAUGCGUAGAUAUCGAGAGGAACACCUGAGGUGAAGACGGGUUGCUGGGCCGACACUGACGCUGAGUGCGCGAAGCCAGGGAGCAAACGGG
rnacentral:rRNA from 1 species